rnacentral:misc_RNA from 1 species
GUGGAACUUCAUUGAUCUAGCUAGGAUAUAAAAACAAAUGCAGAGAUACAUAAAUGGAAUUUGCAUUUUAACAAGCCUGGAAAUGAUGAAAAUAGCAGCAAAUCUAUACUGUAGGUGUCCUAAUUUCAUGGGAAGGAAGCUUAACAACAACGAGAACAACGAUUACAAUAACCACAACAACAACAAAAACAAGAAGAGCAACGACGAAAACAGGAAGAACAACUCCUCCUUGGAUGACAUGAAGGGCAGUUACGAGGGUCGCAUGAAGUACAACUGAAAGGAUGAAAAGAGCAAGAACUACACGGACAACACGAAGAACAAAGACAUGGGCAACAUGAAGUAGAAAAACUACAUGGGUUACAAGAACAACCGCACGGGUGACAGGAAGAACAACUACAAGGGUGACAGGAAGAACAACUACAUGUGUGACAGGAAGAACAACUACAUGAGUGACAAUUAGAACAACAUGAAGAGCAGCUACAAGAGUGAUAUGAAGAACAAUUACAAGAGUGACAUGAAGAACAACUCCAUGAACAACAUGAAAAGCAAUGAAAACAGCUACCAGAAGUUGAUUUCAUAAUUGCUUUGGAAGUUGGUGUUGAUUCAGGUAGAUGUGGUGGCUGCAGAGGCUGACUCUUAGCAAAUCCCUUUGGAUUAGUUUUUACCCCAGCUUCCAAAACUGGAAACGCCAAUGGGUGAUUGCUUUCUUCACUUUCAUCUGAUUUUUUGGAUUUCCAUUCAACAGUUAAAGUUUUUUUGUUUCUCUCGCUUGUAUCUUCAACACCAUCUGGCUUGGUUGCGUCCUUGGAGGUUGUCCCAUCUGCUACACAACUUUCACUCUUCUUUGUUUCAGUAGUUUCUUCUUUUGUUUCUUCCAUGGGGAUUGAAGGCCGAUUUGCCACUGAAAUCCUAUUUUCUGUAUCUGCCACUGGAACAGAAGGGGAUGGGCUAAAUUGGAAUUCUACUUCUCCAGGCUUGCUAAACUCCAUCGAUAAAAGACGAUCUCUGGAGAAACUAGUUCCUAAUUGAAGGCUAAACAAAGACUCAUUAGAAGCAUUGCUCCAUUCAACUGGUUUUGUCUUGUUUGUUUCAAAUAUAGCGGAUGGAAUCCUGCAAGGAUCAUAUCCUUCUCCUCUUGAUCGUUCCAUCACUUGCAUUGGAGGAGAUUGCAUCAUCGAAGCUACGUGCAAAUGAUAGGAUUCAGGGAUGAAAUCAGGAACAGGAAAUGUUAUUGAUUGACCAACAGAGCUAUCUUCAGACCCUCUUGAUUUGGAAGACUCGUGAUGCUGCGAAUUCCCCUUUUUUUCAUCUUUUAAUGCUGGUAAAGAACUACUGGUCCUUCUGGGUUCCUUACAAUUUUUCCCAGCUAAAGGCAAGACAUCAUCUGGCGGUGAAGUUGAUGAAGAAGAUUCAUUAACAGCAGCAGCAGCAGCAGGAGGAGGAGAAGCAUUUGAAUUCAACUCUGACUUCUUACUACUUUCUUUUGCAGGUGCUGUUUUCUCCAAAUAUUCAUUGCUUCCAAACAGAACACUACGUUUUGGAUUUUUCUCAACAACAUCUACAUUACUUGCUCCGUUCCCAUCAUUAACAUUGACAUUUGCAUUUGAUUUUGAUCGCUUACGGCUUCUGUUCCCACGUUCCAAGCCCAUUUAAGCUUUAUGCCGCCAGAUGAUCUUGAUCGGUGUGAAAUAUGAUCGCCGGAAUAGCACCGGCGAUCCACAACUCCUUUUCUCCUAUAGUAUUUGAAUUCUCAACCUCCCUCGAUCUAUCAUGCACUCGAACGAUACUUUAACCAAGUGAAACGAUCAAAAUUUAUUAAAUAAAAACUCAGUUCUCAACUGAAAAAUCCUGAAUUUCUGUUUUUU